AUUGAACGCUGGCGGCAGGCCUAACACAUGCAAGUCGAACGAGUGGCGGACGGGUGAGUAAUGCAUGGGCAACUUCCUGAUGGAGGGGGAUCACUACGGGAACCGGUAGCUAAUACCGCAUACCAUCGGAUGUUCCCAGAUGGGAUUAGCUAGUUGGUGGGGGAAAGGCUCACCUAGGCGACGAUCCCUAGCUGGUCUGAGAGGAUGACCAGCCACACUGGAACUGAGACACGGUCCAUACUCCUACGGGAGGCAGCAGUGGGGAAUAUUGCCCAAUGGGCGCAAGCCUGAUGCAGCCAUGCCGCGUGUAUGAAGAAGGCCUUCGGGUUGUAAAGUACUUUCAGCGGGGAGGCGUUACCCGCAGAAGAAGCACCGGCUAACUCCGUGCCAGCAGCCGCGGUAAUUC
rnacentral:rRNA from 1 species